UACAGAGGUCCCGAGCGUUGUUCGGAUUCACUGGGCGUAAAGGGUGCGUAGGUGGUGAGGUAAGUCGGAUGUGAAAGCUCCAAGCUUAACUUGGAAAUGGCAUCGGAUACUAUUCGGCUCGAGGAAUGGAGGGGAGACUGGAAUACUUGGUGUAGCAGUGAAAUGCGUAGAUAUCAAGUGGAACACCAGUGGCGAAGGCGAGUCUCUGGACAUUUCCUGACGCUGAGGCGCGAAAGCCAGGGGAGCAAACGGG
rnacentral:rRNA from 1 species